rnacentral:rRNA from 1 species
UACAGAGGGUGCGAGCGUUGUUCGGAAUCAUUGGGCGUAAAGGGCGUGUAGGCGGUGGAGUGUGUCCGGUGUGAAAACCCCUGGCUUAACUAGGGAACGGCAUUGGAAACUACUCUGCUAGAGUGCGAGAGAGGGUGACGGAAUUCCAAGUGUAGAGGUGAAAUUCGUAGAUAUUUGGAGGAACACCAGAGGCGAAGGCGGUCACCUGGCUCGUAACUGACGCUGAAACGCGAAAGCGUGGGUAGCAAACAGG